CAGCAGCCGCGGGAAUACGAAGGGGGCUAGCGUUGUUCGGAAUUACUGGGCGUAAAGCGCACGUAGGCGGUGAGUUAAGUCUGCUGUGAAAUCCCCGGGCUCAACCUGGGAAUGGCAGUGGAUACUAACUCGCUAGAGUGUGUCAGAGGAUGGUGGAAUUCCCGGUGUAGCGGUGAAAUGCGUAGAGAUCGGGAGGAACAUCAGUGGCGAAGGCGGCCAUCUGGGACAACACUGACGCUGAGGCACGAAAGCGUGGGGAGCAAACAGGAUUAGAGACCCGUGUAGUCCCUGUCUCUUAUAC
rnacentral:rRNA from 1 species